GAUGAACGCUGGCGGCGUGCCUAAUACAUGCAAGUCGAGCGAACAGACGAGGAGCUUGCUCCUCUGACGUUAGCGGCGGACGGGUGAGUAACACGUGGAUAACCUACCUAUAAGACUGGGAUAACUUCGGGAAACCGGAGCUAAUACCGGAUAAUAUAUUGAACCGCAUGGUUCAAUAGUGAAAGACGGUUUUGCUGUCACAUAUAGAUGGAUCCGCGCCGCAUUAGCUAGUUGGUAAGGUAACGGCUUACCAAGGCGACGAUGCGUAGCCGACCUGAGAGGGUGAUCGGCCACACUGGAACUGAGACACGGUCCAGACUCCUACGGGAGGCAGCAGUAGGGAAUCUUCCGCAAUGGGCGAAAGCCUGACGGAGCAACGCCGCGUGAGUGAUGAAGGUCUUCGGAUCGUAAAACUCUGUUAUUAGGGAAGAACAAAUGUGUAAGUAACUAUGCAUGUCUUGACGGUACCUAAUCAGAAAGCCACGGCUAACUACGUG
rnacentral:rRNA from 1 species